AACGACGCUGGCGGCGUGCUUAACACAUGCAAGUCGAACGCGAAAGGGACUUCGGUCCUGAGUAAAGUGGCGCACGGGUGAGUAACGCGUAGAUAACCUGUCUUCACGUCUGGAAUAAUACGCCGAAAGGGGUACUAAUACCGGAUAUUCUUGCUUUUCAUAAGUUUUGCAAGGAAAGGUGGCCUCUGAAUAUGCUACUGCGCGAAGAGGGGUCUGCGUACCAUUAGCUAGUAGGUGGGGUAAUGGCCUACCUAGGCUACGAUGGUUAGCGGGUCUGAGAGGAUGAUCCGCCACACUGGCACUGGAACACGGGCCAGACUCCUACGGGAGGCAGCAGUGAGGAAUAUUGCGCAAUGGGGGAAACCCUGACGCAGCGACGCCGCGUGAGUGAGGAAGGCCUUCGGGUCGUAAAGCUCUGUCAAAGGGAAAGAAGUGCAUGAUGGCUAAUACCUGUCAUGUUUGACGGUACCCUUAAAGGAAGCACCGGCUAACUCCGUG
rnacentral:rRNA from 1 species